AACUUUCAACAAUGGAUCUCUUGGCUCUCGCAUCGAUGAAGAACGCAGCGAAAUGCGAUAAGUAGUGUGAAUUGCAGAACUUUGUGAACCAUCGAAUCUUUGAACGCAUAUUGCGCUCUCUGGUAUUCCGGAGAGCAUGCUUGUUUGAGUAUCAGUAAACACCUCAAAUCCCACUCUUUAUUUAUAAGAGUGGAGUUUGGACUUGAGCGAUCCCAACAUUUGAUCUUGUUAUCGAAUGGCGGGUUGCUUGAAAUUCAGGUGCAGCUGGACUUUCUUCUGAGCUAAAAGCAUAUUUAUUUAGUCCCUUAACACGGAUUAUUACUUUUGCUGCAGCUAACAUAAAGGUUGAUUGUCCUUGUGCUGACUGAUGCAGGAAUUCGCAGGUCUCUAAGAUCUGUCAAUCUCGAUCUCAAAUCAAGUAAGACUACCCGCUGAACUUAAGCAUAUCAAUAAGCGGAGGCU
rnacentral:misc_RNA from 1 species